GAUGAACGCUGGCUACAGGCUUAACACAUGCAAGUCGAGGGGAAACGACGGGGAAGCUUGCUUCCCCGGGCGUCGACCGGCGCACGGGUGAGUAACGCGUAUCCAACCUGCCUCUGACUGAGGGAUAACCCGUCGAAAGUCGGCCUAAUACCUCAUGGCAUCGUCUGCGGGCAUCCAACGACGAUUAAAGAUUUCAUCGGUCAGGGAUGGGGAUGCGUCUGAUUAGCUUGUUGGCGGGGUAACGGCCCACCAAGGCUACGAUCAGUAGGGGUUCUGAGAGGAAGGUCCCCCACAUUGGAACUGAGACGCGGUCCAAACUCCUACGGGAGGCAGCAGUGAGGAAUAUUGGUCAAUGGGCGGGAGCCUGAACCAGCCAAGUAGCGUGCAGGAUGACGGCCCUAUGGGUUGUAAACUGCUUUUAUGCGGGGAUAAAGUGAGGGACGUGUCCUUCAUUGCAGGUACCGCAUGAAUAAGGACCGGCUAAUUCCGUG
rnacentral:rRNA from 1 species